rnacentral:rRNA from 1 species
CCUACGGGAGGCUGCAGUGGGGAAUAUUGGGCAAUGGAGGAAACUCUGACCCAGCAACGCCGCGUGAAUGAUGAAGGUCUUCGGAUUUUAAAGUUUUUUUCUAAGGGAAAAAGAAAUUAACGUUACCUUAGCAUUAACCCUCGCCUAACUAGGUGCCAGCAGCGGCGGUAAUACGUAGGAGGCGGGCGUUAUCCGGAAUGACUGGGCGUAAAGGGUGCGUAGGGGGUUUGGCAAGUUAGUAGCUUACUUCCAAGGCUGAACCUUGGAACUACUACUAAAACUGUUGGACUUGAGUGCAGGAGGGGCAACCGGAAUUCCUAGUGUAGCGGUGGAAUGCGUAGAUAUUAGGAGGAACACCAGUGGCGAAGGCGGGUUGCUAGACUGUAACUGACACUGAGGCACGAAAGCGUGGGGAGCAAACAGGAUUAGAUACCCGUGUAGUC